rnacentral:rRNA from 1 species
GACGAACGCUGGCGGCGUGCCUAAUACAUGCAAGUAGAACGCUGAAGGAGGAGCUUGCUUCUCUGGAUGAGUUGCGAACGGGUGAGUAACGCGUAGGUAACCUGCCUGGUAGCGGGGGAUAACUAUUGGAAACGAUAGCUAAUACCGCAUAAGAGUAGAUGUUGCAUGACAUUUGCUUAAAAGGUGCAAUUGCAUCACUACCAGAUGGACCUGCGUUGUAUUAGCUAGUUGGUGGGGUAACGGCUCACCAAGGCGACGAUACAUAGCCGACCUGAGAGGGUGAUCGGCCACACUGGGACUGAGACACGGCCCAGAUUCCUACGGGAGGCAGCAGUAGGGAAUCUUCGGCAAUGGACGGAAGUCUGACCGAGCAACGCCGCGUGAGUGAAGAAGGUUUUCGGAUCGUAAAGCUCUGUUGUAAGAGAAGAACGAGUGUGAGAGUGGAAAGUUCACACUGUGACGGUAUCUUACCAGAAAGGGACGGCUAACUACGUGCCAGCAGCCGCGGUAAUACGUAGGUGGCAAGCGUUAUCCGGAUUUAUUGGGCGUAAAGAGAGUGCAGGCGGUUUUCUAAGUCUGAUGUGAAAGCCUUCGGCUUAACCGGAGAAGUGCAUCGGAAACUGGAUAACUUGAGUGCAGAAGAGGGUAGUGGAACUCCAUGUGUAGCGGUGGAAUGCGUAGAUAUAUAGAAGAACACCACUGGCGAAGGCGGCUACCUGGUCUGCACUGACCCUGAGACUCGAAGCAUGGGGGGCAAACGG